UGGGACCUGACUGGGACACCCAC
rnacentral:piRNA from 1 species